GCUCAACGGAUAAAAGGUACUCCGGGGAUAACAGGCUGAUACCGCCCAAGAGUUCAUAUCGACGGCGGUGUUUGGCACCUCGAUGUCGGCUCAUCACAUCCUGGGGCUGAAGUAGGUCCCAAGGGUAUGGCUGUUCGCCAUUUAAAGUGGUACGCGAGCUGGGUUUAGAACGUCGUGAGACAGUUCGGUCCCUAUCUGCCGUGGGCGCUGGAGAACUGAGGGGGGCUGCUCCUAGUACGAGAGGACCGGAGUGGACGCAUCACUGGUGUUCGGGUUGUCAUGCCAAUGGCACUGCCCGGUAGCUAAAUGCGGAAGAGAUAAGUGCUGAAAGCAUCUAAGCACGAAACUUGCCCCGA
rnacentral:rRNA from 1 species